AUACGGAGGGUGCAAGCGUCAUUCGGAAUCACUGGGCGUAAAGGACGCGUAGGCGGGUUGGCAAGUCAGAUGUGAAAUCCUACAGCUUAACUGUAGAACUGCAUUUGAAACUGCUAACCUAGAGUAUGGGAGGGGGAGAUGGAAUUAGUGGUGUAGGGGUAAAAUCCGUAGAUAUCACUAGGAAUACCGAAAGCGAAGGCGAUCUCCUGGAACAUAACUGACGCUAAGGCGUGAAAGCGUGGGGAGCAAACAGGAUUAGAAACCCUAGUAGUCC
rnacentral:rRNA from 1 species